rnacentral:rRNA from 1 species
GUAGUCCACGCUGUAAACGAUGAGUACUAAAGGUUGGUAGGGGAACCUAUCAGUCUUGAAGCUAACGCGAUAAGUAUUCCGCCUGGGAAGUACGGCCGCAAGGUUGAAACUCAAAUGAAUUGACGGGGGCCCGCACAAGCGGUGGAGCAUGUGGUUUAAUUCGAUGCAACGCGAAGAACCUUACCUACCCUUGACAUCCUGCGAAUCCCGAUGAGAGUUGGGAGUGCCGCAAGGAGCGCAGAGACAGGUGCUGCAUGGCUGUCGUCAGCUCGUGUUGUGAGAUGUUGGGUUAAGUCCCGUAACGAGCGCAACCCUUGUCCUUAGUUGCCAUCAUUUAGUUGGGGACUCUAAGGAGACUGCCGGUGAGGAACCGGAGGAAGGCGGGGACGACGUCAAGUCAUCAUGGCCUUUAUGGGUAGGGCUACACACGUGCUACAAUGGGGCGUACAGAGGGUCGCGAACCCGCGAGGGGGAGCCAAUCUCAUAAAGCGUCUCGUAGUCCGGAUUGGAGUCUGGAACUCGACUCCAUGAAGUUGGAAUCGCUAGUAAUCGCGAAUCAGCAAUGUCGCGGUGAAUA